rnacentral:lncRNA from 1 species
CAAAAUCAAAUUCAGAAAAUUGACCUGAUACAAGCAAACACGAGCGCACAACGAAUGAUAUCGAUAUCUGCUGACAGAAAAAACACACUACUGCAUUACAAGAAAGCAGAUCAAAUAUCCAUGUUCGUAAUUCAACUCGUAUUCCCAAUACAAUGGUUUCGGUUAGCAGUUCUAUAUUAGGUAAGUUAAAAAGAUCCCAAUACCUCACUAAUUCGUGAGAUAACUCGGACUCCAUAAAAUUCCAUUGAAUUCCCUUUGGAUUGACAGUAACUGUUUACAACCUACAGACAAGUUGACCUCUAAAAAGAAUGGCCGCUGUACAGUCACUAUAGGCUUAUAAAAAUCUACUUGAUGAGGUUAAAGAAUUUGGGUUGCCAAACAAAAAACUUUUAAAACUUGUUAAAGGAUGAAAGAAAAAUAAAUUAGUUUCAGCUUUCACAUCAUUCCUUGCUUUCUUGUAUAUACUUUUAAAAAUAUAAAGACAAAGUUGACCAUCAGUCAUACUCAUCAUAACCAUAAUCUUCAUCAUAAGCUUCCUCCAGAUUUUCAUAAGCCAUUUCAUAGCCAUAGGCUUCUCCAGCAUCAUGCUCAUCUUUGUAGUCAUCUUCUAGUCCCAAGUCAACACUUUCAUACGUGUCAUCUAAUUCACUCUUUUUCUUUGGAACAUUGUGCAUCUUCUCAUCAUCGUCAGAAUAUGAUUCAGUUCGACUCUUCUUGGUGUUCUCAGGAGCCAC